rnacentral:lncRNA from 1 species
GUGUCAAUCAUUAAUUGUUCAAAUCAUUUAACUUAUGUUAACUUGUUGUAAAUCGGAUUAGAUUACCUAUUUAAUAAAUUGAUUAAAUUUGAUUCUAGGUUUUUGACUCAUUUAAUACAUAAGUCAAAUUUGGGUCGAUAGCUUUUUUGUAUACCCUGUAUCUGAUCCUAUCUAUAUCUUGUCUGACCAAACCCAAUUACUACCCUAGUCAAGUCCGUUCUGAACUAUUAGUAACAACCUAAAGCUUCACCUAAAAAGGCUAGUAAAAAACUCUAUGAUGUGUGACUAAAU